UUGUAAAUUUGUCUAAUUAGUGUGUAUCGGUUUAUAUAUGGUUUAGAAGCACUUCAUGGUUUCCAUCCUUGUUAAUAAGGGAAUGAAGGGCUUUCCAUCUUUCUCAAAAGAAUGGUUUCGAAGGUCGCGGCGAGAUUCUUCGGUCCAAAGUGCCAUUGAUGGAACAUGCGUACUCCACCGCAAAACCAGAAACCACAUUGUGACGUACUUAAACUGGAACUACCCUCGACUUGAUGAACA
rnacentral:lncRNA from 1 species